rnacentral:misc_RNA from 1 species
AAAUGCGAUAAGUAAUGUGAAUUGCAGAAUUCAGUGAAUCAUCGAAUCUUUAAACGCACCUUGCGCUCCUUGGUAUUCCUUGGAGCAUGCCUGUUUGAGUAUCAUGAAAUCUUCAAAGUAAAUCUUUUGUUAACUCAAUUGGUUUCUACUUUGGUAUUGGAGGUCUUUGCAGCUUCACACCUGCUCCUCUUUGUUCAUUAGCUGGAUCUCAGUGUUAUGCUUGGUUCCACUCGGCGUGAUAAGUUAUCUAUCGCUGAGGACACUGUAAAAGGUGGCCAAGGUAAAUGCAGAUGAACCGCUUCUAAUAGUCCAUUGACUUGGACAAUACUUUUAUGAUCUGAUCUCAAAUCAGGUAGGACUACCCGCUGAACUUAAGC